UAGGUGCAACGUUUUUGCGACG
rnacentral:siRNA from 1 species